AUCCAUAGCCCCGCGCCCCUCGCUCCUCCCUCCCUCGUCCACCCGAGCCACACGCACACCCAAUCCCCUCCCCUCCAACCCUAGCCGCCCCGCUCCCCUCCCUCUCCACGGAGCCGCCGCCGCCUCCUCCCCUUCUGCCCUGCUCUCCAUCGUGCCGCCUCUUCCUCCUCUUCACUGCCCUCUCCAGCGGCGGCAAAGAACGGCGGCGCUCGAUCCGAUCUGCUGAAGAGAAAAGAUGAGAGAGGGAGAGAGACAAGGAAGGAGAGGAGGGAGAAAGAUAGAGUAAAGAGGAGAGCGAGGUGUGACGACGGAUGAGAGAGGGUGACCGGAAGGAGCGUGACGACCUGCAGACAAAGGGCGGUGGCAGCGCCGCUCGAUUUGAUCUGCGGGAUAGAGAAGAUGAGAGGGAGAGAGAGAAGGAAGAACAUGAGAGGAGGGAGAAAGAGAGAGGAAAGAGGAGAGGGGGUCGACGGCCAACAGGAGAGGACCACCGGAAGGAGUGCCGCCGGCUCGUUGUCUUCCACCGCCGGCGUCGGCCUGCACCGGCGAGGUCGGGCGGGACCUUGCUUCCAGGGCGGCUUGAUCACAGUCUACAGAACAGUAAAAAUGGAGGAUUUGGGGGCUGCUCAGUUUUGGAGUAGCAAACCAUGGAGGAUAUGGGGCUGCACGUGCUUGGAGCAGCAAGCCAUGGCAAAGAAGUACUGCCAGGGGUUGCUGUUUGUUUACUGAAGGGGGUGUUGAUCUGCUGCCCCUUGUUCUACACUCUGUCCAAGAUAGGGAGGCAGAAGAGAGGACAUGUUGAAGAAUCAAGGGGGACAACCACUAUUCAGUUUUUCUUUGUUAUUGCAUUACAGGAUUGUAGGGUGUUCAGAUUUUAAAUGCUGGCAUUGAUCGAGCUGUUAACUAGUUUUUAGUUCUGAUUAGAUGCGAAUCAUGUUUUAAUUAUGAUGAGAUGCAGAAAUUGUUGAGACAGGGCAUGAAUGGUAUAUAUUUUAGCCGUGCUUUUAUUCCCUUUUGCCCUUUCCAAAGGGACUACUCUACUUUUGUUGACCAUUAGUAUAUAUUUUUCAGAUCCAGAUCCAUUUAUCUAAUGAGAGGUGUAUCAGAGAAAUAAAAAAUAUAUUGAACUACAGUUCGUGACUUUAUGCGAAGAAUUCUAAGGGAGCAAGUCAUUUUACUGGGGCUAAUAAACCCAUACCCCGCAUCUUGUCUGCCCCGGGUGCGGAGGCGAGCUUCCCGGCGAUGGCGGCAGCGCUGGAUUCGAUCUGCAGGAGAGACAGGGAGGUGCGGCUUCAAAUGGGAGAGGGUCUUGAGACAGCUUCACAAGUAUUUAUGAUGAUCGUUUGCAUGAUCUUCUGUUUCUAUACCAUACUGUUCUCGUGUCAUCCCGUUAGUUCUUAUAGGGCCUGCAUAUCAGCUGGGAGGAGCAGUGGCAAGCAGCAGCAGCGGUGGCAAGUAGAGGCAGUGGGCAGCAGAAGCCCAUAUGCAUCUGCUAGGCUGCGUGAACUGUAGAUCGAUUGAGUGCCCGACCAGGAUUUAACUUGGCUGCUAUAAGAUGGAGGGGUCCUCAGCCGGAAUCUCCAUCAAUUUGCGUCCUUGGGCCAUAAUCUCCAUCAAAUUCCGUCGAAAUUUGCACGAAGCGUCCAAUGUCGCCACAGAGUUUGCCGGAGGAACAAGAACAUUGGUCCGUCCAGUGUCGCCUGCAGCGGCUACACCAAAGUUGCUAUGUCUGACGAUCACACCAAAUCAGACGCUGCACUUGAACACUAUAAACAACAGAUCAGAUUUGUUGUUGUCCGGAUAAAUGUUCAGUCAUUCCCUGUUGGAACAAUCAAAUCUUGAUGUCGGUUCCCAAUUGAGUUUCCUUCUAUUUACGAACUUAGGGCCACAUGAACAAGGAUCAUGCGGACGCUACAAAACUCAUCGUGCAACACUCAACCUCUGUUAAGGCAAGUACAAUAUAGAGCUUACUUACGUGGUAUCUGGUCAUGAAUGCGACUCUGCAAGAUAUACUAGAAAACAAGUUGUAGCUAUAUUAGUUUGUGAAACAGUUAUACUAUUUAUCUUCUGUUGAUUCCAUACUUAAGUUUCUUUUUGUAACCAAAUAACUGUAGUAUUUUAGUUAUUGGAUUGUGUGUGCUCGGUCACAAUGAUAUAUUUAGUUGAAGAUAGGAAUGUUUUAGUUCAAGCAUAUGAUAACUUGAGUGCAGCAGUAGAUAAACAUUCACUUACAAAUUCUGCUCCAAAUGGACAGUAAUAGUAGUACGUGGGCAGUGUAAAAUGUGUUUUUGUUAGUUCAGUGAAAAUUAGAGAUCAACCUGAUGGUACUUCAUUUUUAUUCUAAUAUGCCAAAUGCUAUUAAGGAAAUGAAGUUUCUUCCUCGAUCAAGUUAUCAGUCCUUGGUUCACUCUUGCCCUUUGCGCUUGAUGAGACGGGUGAGGAGGAGGAGGAGGAGAGUGUGGGGGCAUCUGGAGAGGAGCGAGGGGUGAGAAGAUGAGAGGGAGAGAGAUAAGAGGGACGUGAAGGGGAGAAGAGGGGUGUGGCAGGGCCGGACCUCCUGCCCGGACAAGGCACGCGGCGGAUGCGCGACGUCAUUUCUUUGGGACAUGCUGGGCUUGCUUUCAUCCUAUAUGCGCAAGAUAGAAAAAACAUCAAGUGGAGAUAUGGGGAAAAUCUGGGCUUAAGAAUGGUUGAGUUGUGGAUAUUUUGCUCAAAGCAUUCUGGAGUCAGAGGAAUUAGCUCCAUACACCUUGUCAAUGGUGUUGCUGAACAGGAUACCACAUAAGUUGGGCUGGAUGAUGAAAAUUCUGCUCAAAUAAGAUCUAAGCGCAAGAGUAAAGACAAAUUCAUGAACCUCACACCCAUGAGCUCAGGUUUGUCCAACCUAAACAAAGCACAGACAAUAGAGCUCGUUACCUCAACAUGUGAUAUUAGAGGCACGGAAAAUCAACAAGUUCAAUGCACAAAUAUGGUUGUUGAUCAGCCUACAUGGGCUGGGAAUCUUGUGAGCAAUUCUGGUGAUGUUUCUACAUUUCUUAGAAAGCUAAUUGACCAAGGAAAAGUUAGUGUUGGUGAUAUACAAUCAGAACUGAGUCUCUCAUCUGAAUCGUUGGAAGCUGCUCUUGAGAAAAUUGGGGGCAAAUCAUGGCUGGAGCAUAUGUGAACUUGGCCUCCGGUCAUUUAUUCAGGAGAGGGAGCUACAACGGCAGGAGAAGAAUGCAACAAGGUGCGGUCUUCUGUUCGAUGCCAAGGGCCUAUCUGGCAGCGAUUUCCUCUGUGAGUACUCCACUACAUGCCUUCCGUCGAAUCCUGAAGAUGUUGCUAGCGUCUUGAAGGAUUACUUAUAUUUGCUCCCUAAUUUCCUGGAUUAUACCAAGUGAGUUGGAUCAUCCAGGGUUGGCGAAACUGAUAUUCAAAUUUGUUCUGUUCUUUAGACCAGAUAUUAGCCCUUUCUCUCUAUUUAACAUAUUUCAAGUUCUCAUGUUACAUUAUAGUAAAUAUUCAAUUCACUUCUAAUUUGUAGACAGGUCAUUAGCCUUUUCUCUCUAUUUAACACAUUUCAAGUUCUCAUGUUACAUCAAAAGUACGCUGGUUAGGAUGUUUGCAACAUGCCGUGUGUUGUAAUCUUUGUCCACUGUACAUGCACAGAUUAAAUACUUUCAUUAGUACUUUUACAUAUUUCAAGUUCUCAUUGUUCAGUUUGUUGGUUUAAUAGAGAAUGUUCCUGAUCCUUACUUUCAUAGGUACAUUUAGAAGUCACAAUAGAGAAGGUUCGUAGCCUUGGCUCCAAAGCUUCAAGCUCUUAUAGAAAUUAGAACUGAGGGCCUUUUAAAAUGAGUCCUGCAUAAUAUUGUUGUUCAGUGGGAUGCAGGAUUUUUAUUUGUCUGAUCGGCUAUCCUUGGUGCUGAUUUACGUACCGAUUUCAUCAUCAUAUGACUACAAUAAAGAAGUUGUGUGUAUAAAUAUUUCUAACUGCUGAUGCUUGCAUCAGUGAUUUCAAUUCUGUUGGCCUCCUUAAGAUUGCUUGGGAAUGUGAGGCUUAAAUUUUUUAACCCUGUGCAAUGUGCUUCUCGGGUGUGGAUUUGUGUCUAACUAAUUAACGGUUCUAUUAAUACAGAUAUGUCCUGGUACAUUAUAUGGGUAUUGCAUCGCUUGUAUUUAUAGUAAGUGGAUUUUUCUCAUAUGUUUCAAUAUGUGCCUGAAUAAUAUUAAUGUACACUCUUUCAAUACAUGGUUUACCCUUGGCCUUUGCGCCAUUGGCGCAACUGGUCAUCUAGUCUAACAUAUAAAGCCUCAAGAAGUGCUAGGCACAACCAAUGCCUCGAGCGCACGGUACCACGCGAGGAAAAACCACCGCAUCGCACCGCGCGUGGGGCCACAGCGCACCACGCAAAGGAAAAAAACACCGCUCUGUGCGUCCUCAUCCCCUCCACUCCCUCGACAACGGUGGCGGCGGCCCCCUCUGGUGGCGGAGGAGGAGGGGGGAGAUGGUGGCGCGGCGGCGACCUUCCCCUCAUGCAUCCCAUUCCCUCACGCAUCCCAUCCCCCCUCGUCAUCCCGGAUCCCACCGGACCCGAGGCGUGCGGGCGCGGCGGCGACCUGCAAGGGAAGGGCAACGCUCGAAUCGAUCCAGCGCCAUGGAUCGGUCCCUGCGGGAAAAAGAGAAAAUGAGGGAGAGAGAAGGAAGGAUAGGAAGGAGAAAGAGAGAGGAAAGAGGAGAGGGAGGUGCAGCGUUGACCGACGGCUCGCGCGGUGGUGCGGCAGACGACAGCCUCAGUGGGUGUGAGACGACACCAUGCAGCUCCUGUGCCACGCAACCCUCUCCUCGCAGGCUCAACAGGAGGUUCCCGAGCCAGCUCGGGCCACUGCUACCUCUUCCUCGCCGCCCAACAGGUCGCCGUGCUGGGGGAGCAGGGUAGCAUCGGGUCCACAGCCUGGGGUGGAGGCCUUCCCAACUCGGACUGCGCGUCCUCCUCUUUGCCGCAUCAUCGCCCUGGCCAGCUGAGCACCAACCCGACGGCGACGACAUCCGAUGCCAACACACCGAGGUUAUACUCCAAUCAAACAUGUGAAUAUUUACCAGAGUGCUUCAAGAUCGAUCCAAUGAUCCACUGCCGCUCUGCUGUUGAGACUAAUUUGGACGGGAAUGGUGAUUUCAUGGUUGAUUAUGUUACUUGGUUCUUGCUCUUGGAGUUACUGUGAAUACAUUCAACACUCCUGGUGUGAUGGAGCAUUGCCACUUUCUGAAGGUAGUGGAGGAUGCCCAAAAGAUUCAGAAGAGCGUGAUAGACUGCUUUGAAAAGGAGUCACUUCCUAACCUCAGUGAAGAGGAGAAAAGGAAGAUCCUUCACUUUGUGAUUAUCGGUGGUGGACCUACUGGGGUUGAAUUUGCCGUGGAGUUGCAUGAUUUUCUUGUCGAAGAUCUUGUGAAGCUAUAUCCUGCAAUUGAAGAAAACUCUCAACUCCUACUUGCGCUCCGCCUCUUCCUCCUUUUCAUCGCUCAAUAGGAGGCAGUUCGUCUAGCCGUGCAGCAGACCGCGUCCUCAGCGGGUCGGUGACGGCAGUUGCAGCUGGUGCACGAUGACGAUUCCAACGACAACAGGAAUCUGCAACUUGUUAGACUUCUUUGCAACCCCAACAAGGCCCUCAUCUGCUUUGUCUACAUAUAUGCAUGAUUUCUAUGAUUGGAAUCAGAUAGCACUAACUAUGUGUCGGACUGCUAAUAUUUAUUUGUUUGAUGAUCCUUGAAGCGCACUCUAUGCUCAUACAUGAUCCCACAUAUUCCAGAUGCUUUCUUGAGGCUUUGGCUAAAAUCAGUGGUGUACGUCACUCAUCAGGUAACUAAUGACGGGCUAAUGCCUUAAGCUGGGACAUACAACAAAAUACUUAUUUUAUGGGAGGAGUUUAUGGAACCGGGUAGUGCUCAUCAGGAUGCUCUUGCAGCAAGUGACACAAUCGAUGUGUCUAAUGGAGCCAGUGAAUAACCUUGCCACCCUUCAGUAUGAAUAGUUGUUGCAACGGGGAAGAGCAUUUCUGCAAUAGCAAGAUAUCACGACCCAAUGGGCAUAGGCCGAACCAACCACCAUCACUAUUGCUUCAGGAUUAGAUAGCCAACUUCCACUCAUGAGCGUUGCAGCUAUAUUCGCACAGUGUCUCAUAUUAUGUGGUCCGAGAUUGCAAUUAUUUGGCUGAUUCAAACUUACUUUAUCUUCAAUGGAUUUGAACUCCAACCAAAUUCAAGUGAUGAAAGGGGAGCAAGCGGCAGAAGAUUGUGACAUUGUUGCUAUUUGGAGAUGCAUCAAAAUACAGACAAGGUCCUGCAUUUUGUGAAAGGUGCAAUAUUGAAUCUUCUUGCACUGAUCUAGAAUGGAUCGUGACUUCUCCCAAAAGUGAGAACAGGGGAGCAAGCGGCAGAAGAUUGUGACAUUGCUGCUAUUUGGAGACGCAUCAAAAUACAGACAAGGUCCUGCAUUUUGUGAUAGGUGCAAUAUUGAAUCUUCUUGCACUGAUCUAGAAUGGAUCUGACUUCGCCCGAAAGUGAGGGUGUGGUGUUGCUUUCUAAACUUGACUCAGUAUGCCACUCCAGACGCCUGUCCAGCCUCCCUCAGCAUGUGCUCCGCUCACCGGCGCUCGCCAUUGCCCUGCAUUGGUCGAGCCAUCGCUAGGAGUCUCCUUUUCCUAGCCCAGGUUCCGGAUGACAACUUAGUCACAUCACUACUGAAAUCAUAUCUCGGGAGCUAUCACCAUCACUAUUGUUUUAGUUAUAGAUCAUGUAAUUCAUUUGAAAUGCUUUCGAUCUUCUCAGGUCAUGUGGGAACAUAUCGUGGAAUGCAUUUGCUUUUUCUUCUCUGUGUCAUUCAAUUAAGUUCAUAGGUGCUUAAGAAAAUGGUCCAUGCCUUCCUUUGUUUUUUGCUAUUGAUGCAAGUUGAUUUAUUUUCACUUUCAGGCAGCUAGGCAGAUGGAGUUCUUCAUUUGGACAAGUAAAAUAUGGCAACUUCUCGUUGUUUCUCACCUCACAGUUACCAUGGAACUCUUGAAUUGGUUAGAGCUACUCUCUUGAAAAACAAACCUAUGUUUGAACCUCUGUCAUGUAUUUCUGUUUUUUAUAUCUUCCUGCAAAAGCUUUGGUCGAACUAUGAAAUUGCUACAUGAUUGCUUUUGUCGUAUUUCUCUUUUGAUUUGAUACCUUGGUUUCCAUCUCUAUGCAUUGUUUCUUCUACAUCGUUUGUCUGGUUUCGCAAGAAGGAUGCUUAAAGGUGCAACUCCUUCAUUUAUAUAGCCAUGCACGUUUCUUUUGCAAGUGGCUCCUCUUUCUCCAGUGGGUGCGGUUCGUGGGAGCUCGUGGGCGCACGACAUCUCUUGUUGGUGUAGUCUUUUGUUGGUUCCACUACAAUAGCCCGGAAACUUUAUGAAGUGCAAAAUCUUUCUGAGAACAAGAAACAUGGUUAACAGUGUACCUCAGAUCAAAUGGAUUUCAUGUAGGCACCAUCCUACUUUUUUAGUUGAUUGUCAAAGUAGUUCUGAUGUUUAUUUGUUUUGCAUGCAUAUUUUAAGUAUAAAGGUUGCCUUCCUUUGUUCCCAUUGGUUUUCUUUGAUCAAUGUAGUGAUCCACACUAAAACGUGUAUGAAAAUGUUUCUGCUGGGGCAUUUGUGCAUCAAGCCUAUGGAUAAGAAAAAUUAGAUAUAUGGGCUCUAAAA